UAACCAAUAACCUUUAUCCCAUUUGGGAGAAGCUCAGUCCCGGGGCCCCGGGGCCCAUGUUGGCUGCCAGUGCUCUUAUCUCCCCUUGAGGCAAUGAGGCCAAAGGUAGAAACGAGAGGCUCUUAUCUCCCCGGGGCUCAUCCAAUCAGGCGGAUCUGGAGAUACCGAGAGGGACAAUAUGGCUGCUCUGUCCCUGAGUCAUAUUCCCAGCAUGCACUGGGAGACUCGCUGUAUGUAGAAUGAUAUAUUAUUAUAUGUGGCUCAUCUGCACUGGAACAGGGGCUUAAUGGGGGACUUGCCCCACCGCUGCCUUCCUGCCCCUCUGUAUGAGACUCACUGGCACAUUUCAGCUGCCAAUUAGGGUCCUUCAGACUGAUUCGCCAGCUUAUCUGCCCGUGUAUGCCCCCCCCCCAGGGGGCGCUCUUUCUGUGCCUGUGUGCGCCCCUGUGCUGCAGCUCCCAGGGCAUUGUGGGAAUAUGACUCCAAUAUACUAAUAAGCUAAUUAGCUAAUAACAUACGGCGCUCUAAUCCCUACAGAUUCAUUCUCUGCCAGAGAUUUAGCUUCCCGGCCAGCUGCGCUGAAUAGAGACCCUCGCCGAGCAGAGACCCUCACCGAGCAGAGACCCUCACCGAGCAGAGACCCUCACCGAGCAGAGACCCUCACCGAGCAGAGACCCUCACUGAGCAGAGAGACCCUCACUGAAUAGAGACCCUCACUGAGCAGAGACCCUCACUGAAUAGAGACCCUCACUGAGCAGAGACCCUCACUGAGCAGAGACCCUCACCGAGCAGAGACCCUCACCGAGCAGAGACCCUCACUGAGCAGAGACCCUCACUGAAUAGCAGAGACCCUCACCGAGCAGAGACCCUCACCGAGCAGAGACCCUCACCGAGCAGAGACCCUCACCGAGCAGAGACCCUCACCGAGCAGAGACCCUCACUGAGCAGAGACCCUCACUGACCAGAGACCCUCACUGACAAGAGAUCCUCGCUGAGCAGAGACCCUCGCUGAGCAGAGACCCUCGCCGAGCAGAGACCCUCCUAGGAGUCCCAUUCAGCCCAAGGUCCCAAGCUUUUCCCCCUUCAACUCCCAGCAGAGACUGAGCAGAGACCCUCACUGAGCAGAGACCUUGACUGACUAGAGACCCUCACUGAGCAGAGACCCUCGCCGAACAGAGAGACCCUCGCCGAGCAGACACCCUCACCGAGCAGAGACCCUCACUGACAAGAGAUCCUCACUGAGCAGAGACCCUCGCUGAGCAGAGACCCUCACUGAGCAGAGACCCUCGCCGAGCAGAGACCCUCGCCGAGCAGAGACCCUCCUAGGAGUCCCAUUCAGCCCAAGGUCCCAAGCUUUUCCCCCUUCAACUCCCAGGACUGCGCAGAGAUGGGGUGCGGACCCUCCGCCAAUGCAGCUCCGGUGGAACGCAGAGACUGCACAGACAGUGAUGACCGACCUCCGACUUCAAUCACCUACGUGCCCUGCGGAUCGGUAAUUGAUGAGAUGCCGGAGGAGGGAGAGCCGAUUCACGAUGAAGCCAAUGGGUAGAAGCGUGUUGCUCGUUGGAGGAAGAGAGAAAAGGAAAGGAAAUGAAUGCGCAUUGGGGGCAAUCACUAAGAUUUUCACUUCUUGACUUCAAUGAAAAAGAAAAGGCACAGUAAAUAAUGAUUCAGAAAAUCAUUCACAAAACGGAUUUCUAAUGUAUUAAAAUGGCUGAGAAAGUGG